AGCAUUUAAAGGUCUAUGUUCGAAAAUACUCAUGUGAGCGCGAGCUCACAGGAUCCCGCUAUCUAUGCCAUUUAUCCCCCUCGUGAUCUGUGCUGCAAUUGGUAUAGUACUAGGUAUAUAUCCACAUAUAUUAUUACUCCCGUGCAAUGGCCCACUGCACAGGAAACCCAGUCAGCCAGUGGGGCAGCGGAUCAGACGGGGUUGGACGAGGGGAACCAUUUUGUCACGGUAGCUGGUCCAAAGGAGCCGGUUUGCUCAUUUAUGGCAGCACCGGAGGCAGCUACCAAUCUUCUCCAGCACACCUCCUCGCACUCAUCCUUCUUCAUAUAGCAGUCCACCCAUUGCUCCCCCAGUCAGAGAUUGAGAGAGAACUAAACCAGACGAGCGCCACAUAUUCUUGCGGGUAGCAUGUCUGCGUCCUCAUCCUCAAGCGGGGUCGAGCAACCCCCGCCGCUAAUUAGCUGUCCUGAUUGCGGCGGUCGGGUCUUCACCUGGAUUGCUCGGGCGGGGUAGAAUGCAGGCGUUCGUUUCUACAAGUGCGUCAACAAGGACGAUGGAAUCUGCAACUACAUGAGCACCAAGGAGGAGUACCUUGCAGAGUUAAGCUUCCAUUUGGGGACGGCACAACAGCUAGGACACGGAAGCAGCCAGGCUGGAUCUUCUUUGAACCAUAGAGUCCGUGUUGUCCAGCAGCAGCGCACUGUUCCAGCAGUUGCCCAAGCCUUCAGGGUUAAUCAAGCAGGCUCUUCCGCCGCCGCGCUCCGUGUUCUUGUGUUCUUGGAUGCUGCCAUACUGUUUGUUGGUGUCCUCAUUUUCUUGGCGUUGCUGAAAGUAGUCUCCCUCCUUAGCAGGUAGAAGGUGGUCUUGUUGACAGAAUAGAAGGAAUAAUUAGGUAGUCUGUCUUUUGUAUCGCAGUGCUUGGUAAUCAGAAUCAGGUUGUGUGUCCUUUGUAUCCCAGUGGUUAGUAAUGAGAAUCAGGAAGUGUUUCAUUUGUA